rnacentral:lncRNA from 1 species
CAGGGGUUUCAGAAGUUCCAUAAUGUAUUAGAAGCAAUAUAAAACGCUUGAAAUUUCAUGGAUUUUACAAAUUCGAUGGAACAAUAAUAUCAUGUAUUAACUAAUUAUAUACAGCAGUAAGAUAUAGAUAGCAAGAAUUACAAGAUAUGUAUAAUUUAUCAUAAUCGAAUGUCAGCCGGGAUCAUACACUGGCCCCUUUGUACUAAAAGCUUGAUGAAAAAUAAAUUAACUUUUUUUAAUAAAGAAUUAUUAUUGUAUUGCACUUCUGAUGCAUUAUUUGCCUUUAUAUAUCUUAAAUCAGUUCAUGCGUUACCAGGGAAGUAAUUCAACAAAUUAUUUAACAAUGUUAGUAUAAAA